rnacentral:rRNA from 1 species
GAUCCUGGCUCGGAUUGAACGCUGGCGGCGUGCCUAACACAUGCAAGUCGAACGUGAAAGUUCCUUCGGGAGCGAGUAAAGUGGCGCACGGGUGAGUAACACGUGGAUAAUCUACCGGGAAGUUGGGGAUAACGACUGGAAACGGUCGCUAAUACCGAAUACGCUGUUCUAUUUGUUUAGGACAGGAAAGGAGGCCUCUGCAUAUGCUUCCGCUUUUCGAUGAGUCCGCGUCCCAUUAGCUGGUUGGCGGGGUAAAGGCCC